rnacentral:lncRNA from 1 species
CAUAGCAAGUGCGGAUGAGCGUAGAGCGAAGGAAAAAAGAUACAUAAAAUAAAAAAAAUAAAAAGAAUAAAUAAUAAAAUAUAAAGAAAAAUAUUUUUUCUAUAAGAAAAAUAAAAAACAAAGAGAAAAGAAGAAGAUGAUGAAGUUGUACUAUUUCAGAGGAACAUUGCACUGUUUUAGAGAGAACUUAUGCUCUUUAAAAGAAAAAUUAUACUUUUUUUGUAUGAAAGUUGCACUUUUUGAACGAAAGUUGCGCUAUUUGAAAAAAAAUUACACUAUUUCUCCUUCUCCUUUUUCUUCUCUUUUCUCUUCGUUUUCGUGUGUUUCUUCUUUGCUCAUCUCUUCUUCAUCUUCCACCUUCGUCACUUUCGUCGGCAGAUCCUUCGCACAUCUCUCUCCGUACAUUUUUUUUUUCCCUCUCCGG